rnacentral:rRNA from 1 species
UAGUCUCGCACAGAUGCAUAUCAAUAAGCGGAGGAAAAGAAACUAACAAGGAUUCCCCUAGUAACGGCGAGUGAAGCGGGAAGAGCUCAAAUUUGAAAUCUUAAAGGGUUUCCCUUUACGAAUUGUAGUUUAAAGAAGUGUUUUCUGUUGAGGUCUUGGUAAAAGUUCUUUGGAAUAGGACAUCAUAGAGGGUGAGAAUCCCGUAUUUGACCUUUACUUUCAACUUUGUGAUACACUUUCAAAGAGUCGGAUUGUUUGGGAAUGCAGUCCAAAAUGGGUGGUAAAUUUCAUCUAAAGCUAAAUAUUGGCGAGAGACCGAUAGCGAACAAGUACCGUGAGGGAAAGAUGAAAAGAACUUUGAAAAGAGAGUUAAACAGUACGCUGAAAUUGUCAAAAGGGAAGCGUUUGACACCAGUGUUGUUUUUCUGAAAAUCAAUUAAAGAACUGUUUAUGCUAAGUUGUUUAGACUUUAUCAGCUAACUGUUUAGUUUUGAGCUUUUCUUUAAUGCACUUUUCAGUUAACAAGUCAACAUCAAUUUCUUUUGCUGUAAAAAAGCUUGAGGAAGGUGGCUUGAGAUUCGUCUUAAGUGUUUAUAGCCUCUUGCCUAUGCAGUCGGAGAGAUUGAGGUCUGCAGCGUAGAUCCUUCGGGGCUAAAUGCAUUUGUGCUAAGUUAUAGCAUUUUAUAGACAACUUGUUGACUAUGAUUUGUCUUGUAGCUUACUCGCUUAUGUUAUUUUACCUACGCUUAGGAUGUUGACAGCAGUAUAGACUGU